ensembl:snRNA U6 U6 spliceosomal RNA
CUGUGCACAAAUAUUAAAAAAUCAGAAUGAUACAGUGAAGAUUAGCUUGACUCCUGCAUAAGGAUGACACAUAAAUUUGUGAAGUGUUCCAUAUUAAA